CACUCCUUAAUGUGAAGCUUGGUAGUAUUUCAUUAAAGUUUAUGAAAUGAAUAAAGGUUAUGGAUUAGACUUUUUAACUCAUUCAUUGGUUGUAUUUGAACCUAUAAUCAAUCUUUUGUAUAUCCAAAAGAAUUUAUCUUGCCUCCUCCAUUUUUAUAGCAUCUACAAUUUUCUCAAGACUUAAUAUACAAAAAUAGUGUAGAGAAAAUAAAACAAGUACUGACAGUUGAUACUACUUUAAGUUUUGGAGUUUUCUUGUUUAUGCUUUUUGUUUUUGAGACAAGGUCUCAAUAGUAUGUAGUUCAGGCUGGCAUAGCAAUCAUCUUGCCUCAGCCUCCUGAGUGCUAGGAUUAUAGGCAGUGCUGUGAUUACAGGCAUGUGCUACCACACCCAGUUUAUUAAGUAUUUUUAAAGUCCUUGACUUUCAUCCCCACAACAAUCCUUUUACACAUCAGAGCCAAUCAGAUAAUUUGGUACUAAUCUCUGGUUUAUAAACCAUAUACUAUAAUCUAUGUGUGAUAUACAUGAGUAGUUUAUUGCACAUAUUUCUAAAUGUGCCCUUUUUGCUCAAACAUUGUACUACAAAGAUGCAGUUCAUUUUUUACUGACAAAGUGCAACAAACUCUCAGACAUGUCUCCAUGUGUGCAUUCUCUGGGACAACUGUUCUCAAACUGCAAUUUUCACCCUUUUAAAUUCAUAAAAAUUAAGGACCACAGAAAGCUUUUGUAUUUGAUAUUUACUGUAUUAUAAAUUUGAGCUGAGAAAUGUAUUACAGUGGUGCCUCAGUUCGCAACGCUUUUGUUUGCAAACAGAAGCGUUUGGCAGAAUUUUGUUUUGGUUUGAGAACUCUGCAUCUGGUGACUGGCCAUCUUUCCCACGUGAACACGAACGUGGCCAUCUUUUCCAGUAUUGUGGAGCGAAUUAAGUUCGUGAACCAAGGCACCACUGUAUUUCUUUUGUGUUUUGAGACAGGGUCUCGCCAACUAGUUCCAGCUGGCCUUGAACUCACUAUAUAGCCUAGGCUGGCCUCGAACUCAUGUCAGUCCUGCCUGGGCCUCCCAAGUGCUGGAUUACAGACAUGGUCUUAUAAAGUUACCCAGGCUGGCCUCAAACUUUUGAUUCUCCUGCCUCAGCCUCCUGAGUAGCUGGGAUUACAGCUCUUUUCACUUAUGGAUAUGAAACCUCCCAUCUCUAGAGCCAAGAUGAUUCUCAUCACUAAAGCUGCUAUUAAAGCUAUUAAGCUUUAUAAGCAUGUAGUUCAAAUAGUAGAAAAAUUCAUCAAAAAGGUAACUAUCUUAUUAUUACCUCAUUUUAUUUGAUGCACAUUUGUAAAUCUUAAUUUGGAUGCUUGCUUCCAAAACCACUCUACAGAAAAAGUAGUAAUUGGAUGUUCUUUUUAAUCACUAAAAGUUUAAAAAACAGUACUAUUGAUUGAGCAUUUACUGUGAGUUUGGCAAUGUACUGAAACUGUUCUACUGCAUCUAAUAGUUAUCUUUCUUUGGGCUAGGAUCUUUCCCUAAGCCUGGUGGGCUUCUUGUCCGUCAUUUCAUCUACUCUGUUGACAUUUUAACGUGCCUUUGAGUAGUACUUCAAGUGAAAUUACUUUUUAAAAAGUUGCACAGUAUUUCCCUAUUCCCAUCAGAAUUAAAACAAUUUUUAGUUCUAUAGCUGUUACCUUCUGAUUAGCUUGUAUGAUUAGCAUGUCCUCAGUAGAAGACUGAGGACAGUCUCAUAUAUCUUUGUCUUAUCCCCUUGACUUAGAAGUGUGUUGUAUAGUAUGUACUAAUACAUGUAUGUAUCAAAGUAUAAGUCAGGCAUGAUGGUACAUUACUGGGAGCCCAGCCUGGGAAACUUAGCGAGACCCUGUCUCAAAAUUUUAAAAUGGGCUGGAUAUAUAGCUCAGCCCAAAGGCCCUGGGUUCAGUCCCUACUACCACCAAAAAAAAAAUAAGAUUUUUACCAUGAUUUAUUGUCAGUUCCUUUCAGCUGGAUAUUUAGAUAUUUCUCAUUACUUUUUAGAGAAAAUGCUUUGAGAGCUAACUUUAUGGAAAAAAUAUAUGCAUCUUUGGCUCUGUUUUCUUUAGCAUCGAUGCCUAGAUGUAGAAUUGUUGAGACAAAUAAGGCUUCGCCUUCAUUGCUAAAUCGUUUAUAUCUGGAAGGGAGUUGAGGGGUGGGGGGAUAAAGGAAGGGAAAUAAAAGAUUAAGAUGUGAUGUGUAUGUUCCAGCUCCUGCAAUGAUGGUAUUUAUAUGUAUCACAAACAUGUACUACUUUUAAAAAGGGGUUAUACCUUUUUCCAGCACAACUAGAAAUAUAUGUAUAUGUAUAUAUAAAAAUAUAUGCUUUUCUAUUUACCUUUGUCAACACCCACAAUAUCAACAUCAUUGAAAUUGGUACAUUAUUAACAUUUUUUAAAGUAAUUUUAAAGGGUAAAAAUUGUUGAGCUGGAGUGGAGACUACCAUAAAUGAAUUUGUGUGGUGAUGGUGUAAGGAUUGGUAACGUCAGUUCUGAGUAAUUGUGGCAGGGGAGGCAGAUGGAUCAGAGAAGAGUAAAAUCUUAGGCACCUAAAGUAUCAGUGAAUACUGGUUCUCUAUACAUUUGUGGGAAAUUUUGACAAAUUAGCCAAUUAGAUGAACAUCUGAGUAGUUUGUAAGCGG
rnacentral:lncRNA from 1 species